rnacentral:rRNA from 1 species
UACGUAGGCAGCAAGCGUUGUUCGGAAUUACUGGGCGUAAAGAGUGUGUAGGCGGUGCUGUAAGUUCGGUGUGAAAUCUCCCGGCUCAACUGGGAGGGUGCGCCGGAAACUGGCAUGCUUGAGCGUGGGAGAGGAAAGCGGAAUUCCUGGUGUAGCGGUGAAAUGCGUAGAUAUCAGGAGGAACACCUGCGGUGUAGACGGCUUUCUGGACCAUUGCUGACGCUGAGACACGAAAGCGUGGGUAGCAAACAGG